GGUUGUGUGGUGUAAUGGUAGCACGUAUCGUUGUGGAGUAGAUCUCAACGGUCCCGAUACAAUCGCGGUUCGAUUCCGUGCACAGCCA